AGAAAUUUUGACAGAUCCUUCAAACCCUUGGCCAUGCCCAUACUCUCUGCUGAUGCUAAAUCCUUCAGACUCCCAAUUGUGAUUCCAAAGCCAAAGUUAGGGACUAGAGGUACCAGCAACAUUGAAGAGCCACCAAUUUCUGCAUCUUCUUUGCAUGGUUCUAAAAUUAACAUGAAAUAAGUGCCAAUAUUUGAUCUUUGUCUAAAAAAGAGGUUCAUUAACAAGUUCUACACAAUUGUUGUUAUUAUUUUUGUACUCACAGUGAUGAUGUGUAUUUGGACAGAUAUUUCCGGCUUUUGAGUUGAGUGAAGCCAAAGCUGGCUGCACCUUCAUAAGAGAGUUUCUCAAUGUGUUCGACCAACAGCUCCUUCAAUGCAUUCUAAUCCCUCAUAGGCAGUUUUCUUGAAGGUCUAAUUAUCUGCACUGAUUUCAUUUGAUAAUAGUUUAGUCCUCAUCAAUGAAUUAAUUAGUAAUAGAAUAAUUUGCUAAUAGGUGUAUAAUCAUUGUUCAUAAAUAAUAGAAUAUACUAUGCUUUUGUUUCAUUA